UCACCGCUUACGCGGGCAGUUCCGUUAGAGUCCCCGACAUAACUCGCUGGCAACUAGGGACAGGGGUUGCGCUCGUUGCGGGACUUAACCCAACACCUCACGACACGAGCUGACGACAGCCAUGCACCACCUGUGCACUGGCCCCGAAGGGCUGCCGUAUUUCUACGACAUUCCAGUGCAUGUCAAGCCUUGGUAAGGUUCUUCGCGUCGCGUCGAAUUAAACCACAUGCUCCACCGCUUGUGCGGGCCCCCGUCAAUUCCUUUGAGUUUCAUUCUUGCGAACGUACUCCCCAGGCGGGAUACUUAACGCGUUAGCUACAGCAUUGCACGGGUCGAUACGCACAGCGCCUAGUAUCCAUCGUUUACGGCUAGGACUA
rnacentral:misc_RNA from 1 species